GACGAACGCUGGCGGCGUGCUUAACACAUGCAAGUCGAACGGUAAGGCCCUUCGGGGUACACGAGUGGCGAACGGGUGAGUAACACGUGGGUGAUCUGCCCUGCACUUCGGGAUAAGCCUGGGAAACUGGGUCUAAUACCGGAUAGGACUACGGACUGCAUGGUCUGGGGUGGAAAGCUUUUGCGGUGUGGGAUGGGCCCGCGGCCUAUCAGCUUGUUGGUGGGGUGAUGGCCUACCAAGGCGACGACGGGUAGCCGGCCUGAGAGGGUGACCGGCCACACUGGGACUGAGAUACGGCCCAGACUCCUACGGGAGGCAGCAGUGGGGAAUAUUGCACAAUGGGCGCAAGCCUGAUGCAGCGACGCUGCGUGAGGGAUGACGGCCUUCGGGUUGUAAACCUCUUUCAGCAUCGACGAAGCGAAAGUGACGGUAGGUGCAGAAGAAGGACCGGCCAACUACGUGCCAGCAGCCGCAGUAA
rnacentral:rRNA from 1 species